UACGGAGGGUGCAAGCCUUACUCGGAUUUAUUGGGCGUAAAGGGCGCGUAGGCGGCUUGAUGUGUCAAAGGUGAAAUCCCUCGGCUCAACUGAGGAACUGCCUUUGAAACUGUCUGGCUUGAGGCCGGGAGAGGGUAGCGGAAUUCCCAGUGUAGCGGUGAAAUGCGUAGAUAUCGAGAGGAACACCUGCGGCGAAGGCGGGUUGCUGGGCCGACACUGACGCUGAGGAGCGAAAGCGUGGGGAGCGAACAGG
rnacentral:rRNA from 1 species